UGGUGAUCAUUGACAUAGUUCCACUAGGCAU
rnacentral:piRNA from 1 species